GUUAUAGUAUUAUUUUUUUUCUUAAAAAAAUUGAUUUUUAUUACAGUAGCUAUUAUCUAUAACUCUAUAUGAAUCCCCAAUAAGAAUGAUGACAUGGCAAGCUCUACUUUUUUUAGAUUUUUCAUAUUUUUUAAUGAUGAUUUGAAAUAUAAAUAUAUAUAUGCANAGAGAAAUCUAAUUUGAAUUAGAAAAGAUAAUAGGAUUGAUAAAUAUCUUUAUAUGAUUAGUUAAGUGUGAAUUUGAACCUCUUUAGUUUUUUUUUAUUAUUUAUUACCCUUCAUAAUAUUUUAAAUAUUUUUUCUGUUUCUUUUAACGUUUUUAUUUGUUUGUUAAAUCUACAGACUAUAAAUUUUUACAAAAAUAUUUAUACCCGCCGCAUCGCGCGGGUCCCUACGCUAGUUAUAAUAGAAAAGGCAUAUCAAGCCCA
rnacentral:lncRNA from 1 species